rnacentral:rRNA from 1 species
GCAGCAGCCACGGGAAUACAGAGGGUGCGAGCGUUAAUCGGAUUUACUGGGCGUAAAGCGUGCGUAGGCGGCUUCUUAAGUCGGAUGUGAAAUCCCUGAGCUUAACUUAGGAAUUGCAUUCGAUACUGGGAAGCUAGAGUAUGGGAGAGGAUGGUAGAAUUCCAGGUGUAGCGGUGAAAUGCGUAGAGAUCUGGAGGAAUACCGAUGGCGAAGGCAGCCAUCUGGCCUAAUACUGACGCUGAGGUACGAAAGCAUGGGGAGCAAACAGGAUUAGAUACCCCAGUAGUCCCUGUCUCUUAUAC